rnacentral:lncRNA from 1 species
GCUGUGGUGACGUCGAUGGGUCUCUGGAGGGUCCCUUCCCUCUUCUCUCAGUCCCCAGGUCUGUGCUUCCCUGUGCCUGACACGUGGGCCCCAGGCCUCAACUUCCUCACUCCCUAAGGGAGCAGCGACUUGAGCUGUCUUGGGCGGCCGAGGAGAAGGUGCCGGUGGCUCGCUGGGGAGGCCCGGCACCCAGCAGACUCGGAGUGCACUUCGGCUUCCAGAAGGUGCCCCUUGAGGAGCUGCAUUCUUUGAUUCUAGUUGUAAGUGACUAUGCCCCACUUUCUGCCUGGUGGGGAGGAGGGUUAGGAGAAUGCAGUAAAUGUCAGAGAUGAGGGGAGUUGGGUUUUUUCCUUUAAACAAACGGUUUAGGAGGAACUCGGUGGGAGUAACAGAAGACCCUUAAACAUGACUCACCCCCUCCUCUGCCCUCCCGGGUUCUAGGAAAAGCAGAGUCCCAGACUUGACCAAGCACGACAAAGGCCCAGUGAUACCAUCUCUCAGUCCACUCAGUGGAGUUAGCUGAAAAACACUGUAUUUAAUUAGCAUCUACUCUCCAACCUUGUAAAUGUGAGCGGAGAGCUACGCCUGACAGCUGACCUGACAGGCCCAGGACGGGAACAUCCCAGGCAACACAGAAGGCAGGGACUGUCUUAAAAAUGUGAAUGAUCCUAUUGCCUCCAAGGAGCCUGGCGGACUCUUUGUGUGCUUCUCUGAAGGCGAGACUGCAUCAUGAGAUUACUCCCAAUUACUCAGCACAGAGGCGAAGACAAUUUGGGCUCUGUAAACACGAGGCCAGGUAGGUAUGUGUCUGCAUGAGCAAUGGAGUGCAGAGAAAGCUCAUUUGGAGGGAAAGCUAUUUAGAGCAAAGAGAAUUUUUGUUUUCAUGUUUCUUUUGCCUUGAGUCUGAGUGAAUUAAAGGCCAAGAUUGGGUUUGGCGACCCGAGUCCCCGGUCCCUAAGCACUCAGCAAUCAUCACAGCAGCCGAUGGAUUUCGAUGAAAGUUAAAUGAAAACACCCUUUGUUUUUGCUUUCUCUUUCCAGGAUUGGAGUCAGGAUAGAAAACUUUCAUAUGCUGUGUUUAUUAGUUCAUUCUGACGUUGGUCCGCAGGGUCUGAUGGGAAUAUCUUGAUGUAAUACUGACAUUUGACUCUCAUGAGGUUUGUCCUUAGAGUCUUUAAUCCAUGACCCAUUGAUUACUUUCUGGCCGGUUUGGAAGCUUUGUUCUUCCUGAGAAGAGGAGACGGUGUGAACCUGGGCCAUGUGGAGGGGGGGUGGAAACGGCUUCUCCUGUGCAGACUUCCCUGCUGCCCAGUGGAGCCACUGCCACCUUUAUAUGUUCUUGGUUCUCUUUCCUGGCCUCAUCACCCUUCUGUGGCCAAUUCAGGGUCCCACCCGUCCAUAGACGGCACAGCAGUGAUCCAAGUGGGUGUGGGUUUUUCCUGAUGGACCUCAUUCAACUUCUGAGAGUGUGAAGGGCCUGGGCCAGAGGAAGGGCACCCCACUAACCCGGAGAAGGUUGGGAAUGGCAGCAUCUCUGUGCAGCUCUGCGUCCUAGGCAUUGGCCUUGCUGUGCUCACGAAGCUCACCUUGCCACUCACUUCACCUCGAGUGACCACCAGAUACUAGUAAACAAAACAGUCCUUCCCUAGCAAUGCCGGGCACCCCAGGGACGUGGUGCGAGGACGGAGCCUGGCCGAGGGGCUUCACGCUCUCCUACGCCGGCCCUCCUCAGCCGGCCUUCCUGCUUCUAUCUGGAGCCUUCCCUGACAGUGAGGGGGAACUGCCCCAUGGGGUGAAGGAGGAGGCUGCACCUGACGUCAGAGGGUGGGGGCAUCAGCGGCCUCAGGAUUGAGUGCGUCCAGUCUGCAGAUGACCAUGCCAUGAUCCACGGACUCCAGGACUCCAGGCACCUCUGGACACGUGCUGUUCCCUUGCAUGAAUGUGUUCCAUUCCUUACAGCAUCACUUAGGCUGCCGUAGAAGGGAGUGAUUGCUAGGAAGGACCAGGCGUUGGCCAAGUGAAUGCAACACCUCACACUGCACUGAGCUCCGAUACAGACUAGCUGGGUCCUCCCAGAUCCACAGCCUCACCCUCAAUGCAAUUUGUCUAGAAAUUACUCCAAAUAUUUUAGUUGGAGCCCCUUUCAGCUCAGUCUGAGCCUCUGAGAUGCACCCUAAUCCUUCUCUUGAACACGCCACCACUUCCCAGGGCAGAAGGGUGCUCUAGAAUUGGGGUGCGGCUCAGCAAGGAUGUGCUUGCCUGGCUGCACAAAGCCCUGGGUUCCAUCUCCAGCACCACAAAAAUAAAGAAAAUUAAAAACAGAAGGCUGUUCUGGGCUUCUCCUGUACUUCCUGUGCCUUGCUCUGCAAUUAUCCACCUCACAAAGAACUUUUGAAAAUGUCAUCUCUGUUGAUUUUCCUGGGGCUCUAUUACCAAAAUGGCAUUCACGCUUCAAGAAUUAAGAGAUUCAGAUUCAGAGCCAUGUUGGGAGGGUUGGGUUCACUUCCAGCUGCCCUAGCCAUGUCCUCUAUGGGGACGCAUACCUGUAUCAUUCCAUGAAGGGUUGGUCCUAUUUUCAGGUUCCAAAGCGUUUGUGAGGCAAUGCCUAAAAUUUAAAGCAAUAGCAGCAAAAAGACUCAGUUCCCAAGAGUAGAAGGAAGGGUGGAAUACGUGAAAAUCAAAUGCAGGGCUGGGAUUGUGGCUCCGUGGCCGAGCGCUUGCCUUGCAAGUGUGAGGCACUGGGUUCUAUCCUCAGCAACACAUGAAAAUUAAUAAAUAAAAUGAAGUUACUGUGUCCAUCAACAACUAAAACAUAUUUUUAAAAAAUCAGAUGCAAUUAUUUGAAGUUCAGUUCAAAUUAAUUGUCGUUCAUUUUCCUGUUAUGACUUAUUUCCUUUGGGGAGAUUGGGGAUGUGAAGGACCUAGUAUUUUUAGGAAUCACCUACCUGCAUAAUCAUGAAACAAUCCGAUGGCUUUGUUUAGUUUCAGUGCUAAGGAUGGAGACCAGGGCCUUGUACAUGCUGCAUAGGCAAGUGAUCUACCACUGAGCCACAUCCCAAACCAAGAUCUUAGAUAUAUGACAUGUGCCAUCUCAAUUAGAGGUGAAAACUUUUUGACUUCAAAGACUUAUAAGGUGACACAGGAGGCAUUUGUUAUAGUGUGGGUGUGAGGUGUCUUCAAAAGCUCAUGUGUGCGACACUGCAAGAAGGCUUAAUGGCAAAAGGAUUGGGUUGUGAGAGCCUUGACCCCAUCAGUGAAUCGAUACCCCUUAAGGGGUUAACCUGUGGAAACUGAGGGCAGGUGGGGUGUGGCUAGAGGAGGUGGGUCACUAG